GAGGAAUAUUGCACAAUGGAGGAAACUCUGAUGCAGCAACGCCGCGUGGAGGAUGACGCAUUUCGGUGUGUAAACUCCUUUUAUUAGGGAAGAUUAUGACGGUACCUAAUGAAUAAGCACCGGCUAACUCCGUGCCAGCAGCCGCGGUAAUACGGAGGGUGCAAGCGUUACUCGGAAUCACUGGGCGUAAAGGGUGCGUAGGCUGGCUUCUAAGUCAGAUGUGAAAUCCAAUGGCUCAACCAUUGGACUGCAUUUGAAACUGGGAGCCUAGAGUUCAGAAGGGGCAGAUGGAAUUAGUGGUGUAGGGGUAAAAUCCGUAGAUAUCACUAGGAAUAUCAAAAGCGAAGGCGAUCUGCUGGGAUGAUACUGACGCUGAGGCACGAAAGCGUGGGGAGCAAAC
rnacentral:rRNA from 1 species